AAUCUCAGUUCAGAUUGCAGGCUGCAACUCGCCUGCAUGAAGUCGGAAUUGCUAGUAAUCGUAGGUCAGCAUACUACGGUGAAUACGUUCCCGGGCCUUGUACACACCGCCCGUCAAACCAUGAGAGUUGGCAACACCCGAAGUCGGUAGUCUAACCGCAAGGAGGACGCCGCCGAAGGUGGGGUUGAUGAUUAGGGUUAAGUCGUAACAAGGUAUC
rnacentral:rRNA from 1 species